UACGGAGGGUGCUAGCGUUGUUCGGAAUCACUGGGCGUAAAGGGCGUGUAGGCGGUCUGUUAAGUCUGAUGUGAAAUCCCCUCGCUCAACGAGGGAACUGCGUCGGAUACUGGCAGACUCGAGUACCGGAGAGGAGGGUGGAAUUCCUGGUGUAGCGGUGAAAUGCGUAGAUAUCAGGAGGAACACCGGUGGCGAAGGCGGCCCUCUGGACGGAUACUGACGCUGAGGCGCGAAAGCGUGGGGAUCAAACAGG
rnacentral:rRNA from 1 species